CCUCCUCCUCGCCGCCGCCACUCUCUUCAUCGGGAUCCUCCCAGAGCCAUCCACCCAUUCCCAGUCGAUCCCGACCAACUCCCUCGUUUUCAGCACCGGUCCAACAUUCUCCUCCCCUCGAUCCACCCAAUCCCGCAACCUCCUCCUCCCGAGAGCCCCAGCCAGAGUACCACCAAGCAGAGCAUCGCCGACCCCAGCGCCUCGUCUCUUCGAACGAACCAGGGGCGAACGCCUCGCCGAGCUCAUCGCGCGCCGACCGUCCUGAGCUCCAAUCCGCGACUCCCCCUUGCCGGAGUUGAACCCAGGCACCUCCCCGCUACUCCCCGUGCCCUCGUUCCCAAGCUCCAUCGAGAGGAGAGGAGCCCCCGCAAGCCACUGCUCCGCCGCUGCCCUCAUGCCCGUGCCCGAGCUCCUCCCGAUCCAGAUCGACCCCGCCGCUUCACAUCGCUGCUCCGGCCACCAGGCCUCGCCGGAGCUCCGACCUCGUCGGAGAUGAGUAGCCGCUGCCCUGUUUCCUCUCCUCCUCCCUCUGAUUGUCUCUCCUGACCACCCACUCCCCUCUCCUGUUUCUCUCUGUCAGGGACCGAAGCAUGGCCGCCGCCCGUCCAAGGACGCCGCCGCCCCAUGGAUCCUUCUCCGCCCGGAGCUUCUUCACCUGCAUCCGCCCCCCCUCCGUCCAGAUCUGCCGUCUCCGCCACCCUUCCUUCAUCUCUGGUGAGCAGCCAUGCCGCCGCGGCUCUGCUUCCUGUCGAGUAGUAGCGAGCUCGUCAAUCGACGAGUACUGCCCAUGUUGACCGAGCC